rnacentral:rRNA from 1 species
CCUACGGGGGGCAGCAGUGGGGAAUAUUGCACAAUGGGGGAAACCCUGAUGCAGCGACGCCGCGUGAGCGAAGAAGGUUUUCGAAUCGUAAAGCUCUGUCCUAUGAGAAGAUAAUGACGGUAUCAUAGGAGGAAGCCCCGGCUAAAUACGUGCCAGCAGCCGCGGUAAUACGUAUGGGGCGAGCGUUGUCCGGAAUUAUUGGGCGUAAAGGGUACGUAGGCGGCCUUUUAAGUCAGGUGUGAAAGCGUGAGGCUUAACCUCAUUAAGCACUUGAAACUGGAAGGCUUGAGUGAAGGAGAGGAAAGUGGAAUUCCUAGUGUAGCGGUGAAAUGCGUAGAUAUUAGGAGGAAUACCGGUGGCGAAGGCGACUUUCUGGACUUUUACUGACGCUCAGGUACGAAAGCGUGGGGAGCAAACAGGAUUAGAUACCCUGGUAGUC